UACGUAGGGUGCGAGCGUUAAUCGGAAUUACUGGGCGUAAAGGGUGCGCAGGCGGUUAAUUAAGUCAGAUGUGAAAUACCUGGGCUCAACCUGGGAGGUGCAUUUGAGACUGGUUGGCUGGAGUGUGUCAGAGGGGGGUGGAAUUCCACGUGUAGCAGUGAAAUGCGUAGAGAUGUGGAGGAAUACCGAUGGCGAAGGCAGCCCCCUGGGAUAACACUGACGCUCAGGCACGAAAGCGUGGGGAGCAAAC
rnacentral:rRNA from 1 species